CGGCCGCCGGUGGGCAUGCGUGAUGCGGCCCGCAGCCCGGAAGGGGCUGUGCGGCGCCGCGGGGCCGGCCCCGCAGGCUGAGGGCGAUCCGUCAGGAUCGGGGUGUGCGUUCGAGGGUGAGGGGCUGACACACGGUGUGGGUCUCCUUCAUCUGCCUGUAGGCCCUGCGCUUAUGUGUUUAUGUUUACCGGAGCUGUCAAGGUAUGAGCGCUCUUUGCGCACCGCCUCUGGAGGCUGGGGAGUGCCUUUUGAGAAAUACACGUGAAAUGGUGCAUCCAUUAAAUAUGAAAAACAAGCUCCAAUUGCUGAAGUGACAAAAGAAAAUCAGUAAUACUGUGUGUUUUUGAAAGUUUUUUGUUACAAAAACCUUUUUGAAUUUAUUUUGUCUAUUAGUUCAUGUGAUCAGCAACAACAAUAAAAAUCAGAAAUAAAAUUGCGUCUGUUUUAACUGGAACAGUAAGAAUAUGGAUCCCUGCUGUUUUAUUAACUUGAUUAACAGUAUUCCACAAGCACUGUGUUUUCACGGCAAAUAAAUACCACUAAACACUCACUGCAAACCAGCCAAAUGCUUCAGAUUUUUAUGGGUAAAGGAGAGAAUUGAGAUUCUUACAGACAUGUCUGAAUCACUUAAGUGUCAGUCUCUGGUUCAGGGAGCUGUCACUCGGUCUGAUAGCUUUAGCUUGUCUUUGUUUUUUGGUGCAGAGGGUACAUGUCAGCAAAGAAUUCCUGACCUCUAAAGCUUAAUGUCAGCACACCACAAAGUAAAACCGUGCAACAGUGCAUGCACCUCAGAAGGCUGAAGAAGGAGCCAAAGUGAAGCGACACAUGAACAUUUGUGUAAAAUCACCUAAACUCUAUGUAGGAAAUUCCUGCAGACCUCCAUUAUGCGCUUUUGGGAUUUCCCCUUUAAUUUAAUGUCUGGGGACUGCGUUAAAUUCAUCUGCUUAGGAACGAAGCUUCAGUGACUGUUGAGGAGGGAUGGACUUACAUUUCAAAGAUACUCCAGUAGGUAUUUCAUUCUUGAGGAUUACAUUGUAAAUCGGUACAAAUAAUACAAGAACAUAAGCAAGAGGAAUUUAACAGAUUUCCAUUGCAGGCUGAUGCUUUAUGAUGUCAGUAAAAAAGGUACUAUGUUAUGACUAGACAUUCUAUUUCACUUUAGUACUAUGAUUAAACUUUCUAUUUUUCAUUGUGGCUUAGGAGUGAUAGUACUUUCCUUCCAUUUUAGUAUUCCCAUUGAUUUAGUCUAAUAAAUCCCAGCUACUCUGCACUACUGGUCUGGGAAACAUCCCUUGUUGAUUUAAAAACAGACAAAUAAAAAUGGAAAGCACUACGGUCAAAAUAAAAAAGACUAAGGCUGUCCAAUUAUGUCAUGUGGGACACAUCAGGAUUUUAAAUGUAUCUUUCUUGAAUGUUGCGAAGAUCUAGAUUACUUGAGGGGGAAUAUAUUUGAGUUUUUCCAUUUAUCCUGUUUCCAAAACAUACUUGGAAUACAGAGCAGUAAUGCAUAUAAAAAAUUCUGUCCAGAUCGGAAUCUCAUGUGAAUUUCUGUGUGACACUCAUUAGCUCUACUGUGGCCACUGUUUGAUACUGAAUAUUUCCAAGAAAAUUGGUAUUGUCAAAUGCCCAUCUAGAAAAUCAGUAAAAUGAUCAGAGUGAUAGGAACAAAAAGCAAAGUGGAGUAAUUUUGUAUAAUCAAUACAAUAAACCAAAACUGAGCAGUAACACGGAGUUGAGUGCAAACACAGUAAUAAUAUCAUUAUUUUUCCUUACAGCUCCUGAGGCCAGUGAAGGAGAGAGGAGAGACAGCAGUCUGAGGUGAGACAGCAGUCAAGAGAAGCUCAUCAAAUGCUUUUAGAGGCCUCUGAGAAGAACUGCUGUUGUGCUUGGAAACGGAAUAUGAGCUGCUGCAAAACUUUACUGUUGUUUGAAACUUGACUUUCCAGUUCUCCCCAUCUUCAUUUAAAGAUGAAAAUGAAGUGUUAUAUUUAAAGGUAAUGCUACCUUUUACCAUGGGUAAUUUGUCUAAAAAACCAACAGUUCUUAAAUACAUGCUUUUAUGAUUGCAGUACUUGGCCGAGGAUGAAAACCAUCAUCUGAUUCCUUGCAUACUUUCAGUGAUACGCAAAAAUCUGAUGGAUUAAAGGAUUUUCUGAGGCCAAAACUAA